rnacentral:rRNA from 1 species
CCUACGGGAGGCAGCAGUGGGGGAUAUUGGACAAUGGGGGAAACCCUGAUCCAGCGACGCCGCGUGAGUGAAGAAGUAUUUCGGUAUGUAAAGCUCUAUCAGCAGGGAAGAAAGAAAUGACGGUACCUGAGUAAGAAGCCCCGGCUAACUACGUGCCAGCAGCCGCGGUAAUACGUAGGGGGCAAGCGUUAUCCGGAUUUACUGGGUGUAAAGGGAGCGUAGACGGUGAUGCAAGUCAGAAGUGAAAGCCCGGGGCUCAACUCCGGGACUGCUUUUGAAACUGUGUGACUGGAGUGCAGGAGAGGUAAGCGGAAUUCCUGGUGUAGCGGUGAAAUGCGUAGAUAUCAGGAGGAACACCAGUGGCGAAGGCGGCUUACUGGACUGUAACUGACGUUGAGGCUCGAAAGCGUGGGGAGCAAACAGGAUUAGAUACCCUAGUAGUC